rnacentral:tRNA from 1 species
GCGGAAUUAGCUCAGCUGGCAGAGCACCUGGUUGUGGCCCAGGGGGUCGUGAGUUCAAUCCUCGCAUUUCGCCCCA